rnacentral:rRNA from 1 species
UUAUUAUGAGAGUUUGAUCCUGGCUCAGGACGAACGCUGGCGGCGUGCCUAAUACAUGCAAGUCGAACGCUUCUUUCCUCCCGAGUGCUUGCACUCAAUUGGAAAGAGGAGUGGCGGACGGGUGAGUAACACGUGGGUAACCUACCCAUCAGAGGGGGAUAACACUUGGAAACAGGUGCUAAUACCGCAUAACAGUUUAUGCCGCAUGGCAUAAGAGUGAAAGGCGCUUUCGGGUG